GUCCAGACUCCUACGGGAGGCAGCAGUGGGGAAUAUUGCACAAUGGGGGAAACCCUGAUGCAGCGACGCCGCGUGAGCGAUGAAGUAUUUCGGUAUGUAAAGCUCUAUCAGCAGGGAAGAAGAUGACGGUACCUGACUAAGAAGCCCCGGCUAACUACGUGCCAGCAGCCGCGGUAAUACGUAGGGGGCAAGCGUUAUCCGGAUUUACUGGGUGUAAAGGGAGCGUAGACGGCGAUGCAAGCCAGAUGUGAAAGCCCGGGGCUCAACCCCGGGACUGCAUUUGGAACUGUGUGGCUGGAGUGUCGGAGAGGCAGGCGGAAUUCCUAGUGUAGCGGUGAAAUACGUAGAUAUUAGGAGGAACACCAGUGGCGAAGGCGGCCUGCUGGACGAUGACUGACGUUGAGGCUCGAAAGCGUGGGGAGCAAACAGGAUUAGAUACCCCCGUAAU
rnacentral:rRNA from 1 species